AACAACGACUGAGCCAUGUUGAGUGCACCAGUUCUCGUGCGAGCACUGAAGUUGGGCGACGUUAGGCGUGGUCAGUAACUGUAUAAGUGACCAUCUGGGAGGUCAUGUGUUGCUGGCA
rnacentral:rRNA from 1 species